rnacentral:rRNA from 1 species
GACGAACGCUGGCGGCGUGCCUAAUACAUGCAAGUAGAACGCACAGUUUAUACCGUAGCUUGCUACACCAUAGACUGUGAGUUGCGAACGGGUGAGUAACGCGUAGGUAACCUGCCUGGUAGCGGGGGAUAACUAUUGGAAACGAUAGCUAAUACCGCAUAAUAUUGAUUAUUGCAUGAUAAUUGAUUGAAAGAUGCUAUUGCAUCACUACCAGAUGGACCUGCGUUGUACUAGCUAGUAGGUGAGGUAACGGCUCACCUAGGCGACGAUACAUAGCCGACCUGAGAGGGUGAUCGGCCACACUGGGACUGAGACACGGCCCAGACUCCUACGGGAGGCAGCAGUAGGGAAUCUUCGGCAAUGGACGAAAGUCUGACCGAGCAACGCCGCGUGAGUGAAGAAGGUUUUCGGAUCGUAAAGCUCUGUUGUAAGAGAAGAACGGGUGUGAGAGUGGAAAGUUCACACUGUGACGGUAUCUUACCAGAAAGAGACGGCUAACUACGUG